rnacentral:lncRNA from 1 species
CUGCCCCAGGCCCUAGCACCAGCAGUAUAACUAUCUGAAACUGGCUCGCAUGCCCUCCAGAGUCUUGCUGGAGUGGAGGAUCCAGGGAAGCCGAGGCAGGUGGUGAGGCCUCUGAGAAUAAGGAGUUCACCAUCCAUGCAAGUCAGAGGGUAUGACAGCCCAGCUAGGUCUGCCAGGGGCCGGUGUGAAGGAAGGGCUCCAGGGAGUGUCAGGGGUUAGAUUAUUUGGAUCUUUGCAGUACUUCCUGGGUCUAAAGAGGCUUUCUGUGCUGGAAUAGUUGUUCGGGUUUCUCAGGUAAACUGGAGCCAUGUUGGUCUAUGACCACAAAGAUAGUGGAUGGUGUAGUAACAAAGUCCUGUGUCUCCCAUUACCCAACCUGCCACCCACUACCCCUCGCCCAAGCCCCCAAAGGAAGGCUAUCACUGAUAGGGCUGUGUCCAUAUACCUAUCCCAACAGAGAAGCAGGAGUGUUGCCCCAAGUAUGAGGACCAGGUGGGGCUAUAGAGUGAGACCCUAUUUUAAAAACAAUUUGCUCUUACUAAACCUUAAAAUUUUGAAUAAAGAUUGAAAAAUC